rnacentral:lncRNA from 1 species
CCUUUGAAAACACUUCUAUUUAGUAACCUCUGAAAAAAAGACACGUCUAGGAGUACCUUCUUCAGCCCAUCCUAAUACAAAGAUUACUAAUUCCUUUGACCAGGACCGUAAGUGACUCACUUUGGUGAGGAUUUACAAGCAUACUUGUUCCCAGACUCCUAGGCCAGCGUGACCAAUGCUCUGUGUUGUGAAUAUAAUAGCAAACCCUUCCCCUGGUUCAGCAUAGUUAGUCGUAGGGGUUUGCUAUGCCUUUCACGUACCUCUAGGCUCUUAAGUCCCUACUGUUUCACAAGCUUUAAUCAGAGCAGUAGUGGUCACAGGAGAAGGGCUGGCUUCCAGAAGUAGCCCAGGUCAGCCACUGUCAGUCUCUGGAAAGGGCAUAGUGUCUCUGCUCAUUUACCUGGAGCAGCACGACAGUCGCAUGCACCUACAGGAAGCAGUCACCACAGAGAGCAGAUGUGAGUCCAGCCCCACAUUUUCAGACUGCAGCCAGAGUCCUUCUCACGUCACACGCAGCCAGAGCUACGCUGCUCUUCAGCUUCCACCCGGUCCUGGGUCCUGCAUGCUGCACUUGCUUGCUAUGUUGGCGCAGAGCCCAGCCAGUACAAAGCCCUCUCCUCUCCUCUUUUCUUCUCUUCCAGCAUUCCCCUCUCUAAAAUGUCAACCAAAGAGAGCCUCCCCUCCCCCGCACCCCACCCCUGCUCUCAGCCUCUUUAGACAGUCUCCUCUCCAUCUCGUGGCAUGUCUGUGACCCUAGAGAAUUCAUUUACAGUGCCAUACGGAACCCUGUAUUUUACACACACAGCAAGCGAUGUUUAGGUUUAUUUAUGAUACUUGAUGCUGUAAAUGAAAAUAAAUAUGGUUCUUUAUAAAACC